AAAAAUAAACAAGAUUUGCACUUAAUGGAAUCUAAUGUCAGCUUUCAUAAGGUUGCAAGAAUGACGCAGCAUCAAAUGGAAUAAGACAGAAACCCCCAUCACAUUGAAGUACUUAGAUAAGGGGUUGCAAUGGACAAUAUACUUGCUGAGGAUGGGAGCACCCUGUUUGAUGGAAUCAUGGUGUAGAUAUGUGAUACGAUGAAAGACCAGAGAAGGACAAGGAAAAGACUCGCAUCUUUCCAUCUUCACAAAUAUCACAUCGUUAGUUUCUGACCAGGGUCUUUGCCUCCGGUACAGGAUUCCAUACAUGAUUGCAAAUGAAACCUGAACAAGGAAUUACUCUUUGAAAUCCUCUCAACUGAAAUGAUUUGUGCAGGAGUGUUUGGAUUAUGGCUAGAGAUAACGGACACUUUGGGAUGUCUGGGUCUUUUGUUCAGCGGAAGAUGGAGAGAGAAGAUGCCAGAAAGGAGAGGUUGUAGACACCAGGAAGGAGUGGACUUGGAGUGGGGCCGGGAGUCGAUGAAACCCAGGGAAAUCGAUGGAGGACCAGCGAAAAAGAAACGAAAUUGUCCUUUUAUGGUCUCCGAAAGCUUCCAUUUCAUAGCUUUACCCUGUCUGGACACUGCCCUGGCUGGUUGCAUCACGGUCUCGUACGAUCCCACACCACCUGUUUCAAGAACAGCCACUUCCCUUCAACCGAUCAGUUCUUCAACCAACUUCGGCAACUGUAAUGACUACCUCAGUAUUGUUACGAAUGUGCCACAACUCUGAGAGGCCGAAGAGUACAAAGUUGCCCCCUCCUUUUUGAGAAUCGCAAGAUCGCUAUUAUUUUGGGUCUGAGACCCAGGAAAUGAGAGAGAGACACGCAGAAUCCACAAGGGUUUGAAAUGUGUGUCCUGGCCUCAGCGAUACAAAGCCACGGAUAACAGCCAUUGUCUCCUGGAGACGGAAUUAUGUAUUGAGUACUGUACUAUUCAUUGAAGCCCUUAGGGAAUGACCAGAGUGGGCUGGUUGAGGGAUUGCAUCAUCCCAACCUGAUUGACAUCUGAGACCCCGUGAGUAAGGGUAAAAGAGGGUCUGGGGAACAAUCCCUUUAGACGCACCAGGAGAAACAUAUGAGACCAGUGGGGACUUGUGUGUGUCCAUCCUUGCCCAGAUGACAAGUCUUCCACGGAACGGCCUCGCUAAAGGACGAAUACGGAUCAAGAUCGGAUGAAAGGAAAAGCUGGCAAGUUUCAAAAUCUGUCUCUCUCUCCAACCAAAAAGCUGCAGCUUGAAUGAACUGAGUGACUUUUAUAUUUCCAUCGGACAAUACAUUAUCCCCUAGACAACGAUAGAGCUUAUUUCUUAGUGAUUAUUACUAUACCCGCACUUUAAGAUUUAGUAUUGAUGACGUAUAUUAUCUGUAUGUUUGCAUUGAUACUAUUUUUGUGUAUUUUUAUCAAUGAAUACUGUUAAAAAUAGUACCAUCAGACUUCAACGGACCUCUCUAUCUUUGCUGGUAAUUGACCCAGUUACGGGGUUCGUAACAGUAUGAACACUAUGACCACUUUGUAAGGAAUGAACAUCAUUUGCUUUUUGUUCUAAUUAUGUUCUUUCUUAUAAAAACAGUGUAUAAUUUAUGAUUAAAUUAUGUUUCUCUUCUGAAUGUUGUGUAUCUGAUGACAUGUGCC